rnacentral:rRNA from 2 species
UUAAGUUAGAAAGGGCGCACGGUGAAUGCCUUGGCACUAGGAGCCGAUGAAGGACGGGACUAACACCGAUAUGCUUCGGGGAGCUGUAAGUGAGCUUUGAUCCGGAGAUUUCCGAAUGGGGAAACCCACUGUUCGUAAUGGAACAGUAUCUUUAUCUGAAUACAUAGGAUAUUGAAGGCAGACCCGGGGAACUGAAACAUCUAAGUACCCGGAGGAAGAGAAAGCAAAUGCGAUUUCCUGAGUAGCGGCGAGCGAAACGGAAUUAGCCCAAACCAAGAGGCUUGCCUCUUGGGGUUGUAGGACACUCUAUACGGAGUUACAAAGGAACGAAGUAAAUGAAGCGACCUGGAAAGGUCCGUCGAAGAAGGUAACAACCCUGUAGUUGAAACUUCGUUCCCUCUUGAGUGGAUCCUGAGUACGGCGGAACACGUGAAAUUCCGUCGGAAGCUGGGAGGACCAUCUCCCAAGGCUAAAUACUACCUAGUGACCGAUAGUGAACCAGUACCGUGAGGGAAAGGUGAAAAGCACCCCGGAAGGGGAGUGAAAGAGAUCCUGAAACCGUGUGCCUACAAGUAGUCAGAGCCCGUUAACGGGUGAUGGCGUGCCUUUUGUAGAAUGAACCGGCGAGUUACGAUCCCAUGCAAGGUUAAGCUGAUAAGGCGGAGCCGUAGCGAAAGCGAGUCUGAAUAGGGCGUUUAGUAUGUGGUUGUAGACCCGAAACCAGGUGAUCUACCCAUGUCCAGGGUGAAGUUCAGGUAACACUGAAUGGAGGCCCGAACCCACGCACGUUGAAAAGUGCGGGGAUGAGGUGUGGGUAGCGGAGAAAUUCCAAUCGAACCUGGAGAUAGCUGGUUCUCUCCGAAAUAGCUUUAGGGCUAGCCUCAUGUUGUGAGAGUCUUGGAGGUAGAGCACUGAUUGGACUAGGGGCCCCCAACGGGUUACCGAAUUCAGUCAAACUCCGAAUGCCAAAGACUUAUCCAUGGGAGUCAGACUGCGAGUGAUAAGAUCCGUAGUCAAAAGGGAAACAGCCCAGACCACCAGCUAAGGUCCCCAAGUAUACGUUAAGUGGAAAAGGAUGUGGAGUUGCUUAGACAACCAGGAUGUUGGCUUAGAAGCAGCCACCAUUUAAAGAGUGCGUAAUAGCUCACUGGUCGAGUGACUCUGCGCCGAAAAUGUACCGGGGCUAAACGUAUCACCGAAGCUGUGGAUUGACAUCUUUGAUGUCAGUGGUAGGAGAGCGUUCUAAGUGCUGUGAAGUCAGACCGUAAGGACUGGUGGAGCGCUUAGAAGUGAGAAUGCCGGUAUGAGUAGCGAAAGACAAGUGAGAAUCUUGUCCACCGAAUGCCUAAGGUUUCCUGAGGAAGGCUCGUCCGCUCAGGGUUAGUCGGGACCUAAGCCGAGGCUGAAAAGCGUAGGCGAUGGCCAACAGGUUGAUAUUCCUGUACCACCUCCCCGCCGUUUGAGUAAUGGGGGGACGCAGUAGGAUAGGGUAAGCGCGCUGCUGGAUAUGCGCGUUCAAGCAGUUAGGCUGAUGAGUAGGCAAAUCCGCUCAUCAUAAAGGCUGAGCUGUGAUGACGAGGGAAUUAUAGUACCGAAGUUCCUGAUUCCACACUGCCAAGAAAAGCCUCUAGCGAGGCGGGAGGUGCCCGUACCGCAAACCGACACAGGUAGGCGAGGAGAGAAUCCUAAGGUGAUCGAGAGAACUCUCGUUAAGGAACUCGGCAAAAUGACCCCGUAACUUCGGGAGAAGGGGUGCUCUGGUAGGGUGUAUAGCCCGAGAGAGCCGCAGUGAAUAGGCCCAGGCGACUGUUUAGCAAAAACACAGGUCUCUGCGAAGCCGCAAGGCGAAGUAUAGGGGCUGACGCCUGCCCGGUGCUGGAAGGUUAAGAGGAGGGGUUAUCCUUUGGGAGAAGCUCUGAAUCGAAGCCCCAGUAAACGGCGGCCGUAACUAUAACGGUCCUAAGGUAGCGAAAUUCCUUGUCGGGUAAGUUCCGACCCGCACGAAAGGCGUAACGAUCUGGGCACUGUCUCAACGAGAGACUCGGUGAAAUUAUAGUACCUGUGAAGAUGCAGGUUACCCGCGACAGGACGGAAAGACCCCGUGGAGCUUUACUGUAGCCUGAUAUUGAAUUUUGGUACAGCUUGUACAGGAUAGGUAGGAGCCUGAGAAGCCGGAGCGCUAGCUUCGGUGGAGGCGUCGGUGGGAUACUACCCUGGCUGUAUUGAAAUUCUAACCCGCGGCCCUGAUCGGGCCGGGAGACAGUGUCAGGUGGGCAGUUUGACUGGGGCGGUCGCCUCCUAAAAUGUAACGGAGGCGCCCAAAGGUUCCCUCAGAAUGGUUGGAAAUCAUUCGUAGAGUGUAAAGGCACAAGGGAGCUUGACUGCGAGACCUACAAGUCGAGCAGGGACGAAAGUCGGGCUUAGUGAUCCGGUGGUUCCGCAUGGAAGGGCCAUCGCUCAACGGAUAAAAGCUACCCCGGGGAUAACAGGCUUAUCUCCCCCAAGAGUCCACAUCGACGGGGAGGUUUGGCACCUCGAUGUCGGCUCAUCGCAUCCUGGGGCUGUAGUCGGUCCCAAGGGUUGGGCUGUUCGCCCAUUAAAGCGGUACGCGAGCUGGGUUCAGAACGUCGUGAGACAGUUCGGUCCCUAUCCGUCGUGGGCGUAGGAAAUUUGAGAGGAGCUGUCCUUAGUACGAGAGGACCGGGAUGGACACACCGCUGGUGUACCAGUUGUCUUGCCAAAGGCAUCGCUGGGUAGCUAUGUGUGGACGGGAUAAGUGCUGAAAGCAUCUAAGCAUGAAGCCCCCCUCAAGAUGAGAUUUCCCAUAGCGCAAGCUAGUAAGAUCCCUGAAAGAUGAUCAGGUUGAUAGGUCAGAGGUGGAAGCGUGGCGACAUGUGUAGCUGACUGAUACUAAUCGAUCGAGGACUUAACCAG